rnacentral:lncRNA from 1 species
CGAGCGGGGUCGUGUAUAUGAGCUGGGCUGGGUCAUCUGGGAAUCACGAAACAUUUAGACAUUAGAAGAAAUGCAGCACAAUUAAACAAUUAUAGAUAAGCUAUUGUAAAAAGGUGAGACUCAUGUUCCGAUCAGAGAGAACCCCUUGGGGUCCUACUGGUAAUACACCCGGAGAUUUUCAGAACUCUAGCUUCGUGGGAUGGGGGUCCUCUCGAGAGACUCCAGCUUGUACGCCUCGGGUCGCUGGACGCGCACGACCCG